UACAGAGGGGGCAAGCGUUGUUCGGAAUUACUGGGCGUAAAGGGCCCGUAGGCGGCCAACUAAGUCAUACGUGAAAUCCCUCGGCUUAACCGGGGAACUGCGUCUGAUACUGGAUGGCUUGAGAUUGGGAGAGGGAUGCGGAAUUCCAGGUGUAGCGGUGAAAUGCGUAGAUAUCUGGAGGAACACCGGUGGCGAAGGCGGCAUCCUGGACCAACACUGACGCUGAGGAGCGAAAGCCAGGGGAGCAAACGGG
rnacentral:rRNA from 1 species